UGAGGAAUAUUGGUCAAUGGGCGAGAGCCUGAACCAGCCAAGUCGCGUGAAGGAAGACAGUCCUAAGGAUUGUAAACUUCUUUUAUACGGGAAUAACGGGCGAUACGAGUAUUGCAUUGAAUGUACCGUAAGAAUAAGCAUCGGCUAACUCCGUGCCAGCAGCCGCGGUAAUACGGAGGAUGCGAGCGUUAUCCGGAUUUAUUGGGUUUAAAGGGUGCGUAGGUUGUUCGGUAAGUCAGCGGUGAAACCUGAGCGCUCAACGUUCAGCCUGCCGUUGAAACUGCCGGGCUUGAGUUGAGUGGCGGCAGGCGGAAUUCGUGGUGUAGCGGUGAAAUGCAUAGAUAUCACGAGGAACUCCGAUUGCGAAGGCAGCUUGCCAUACUGCGACUGACACUGAAGCACGAAGGCGUGGGUAUCAAACAGG
rnacentral:rRNA from 1 species